rnacentral:tRNA from 1 species
UUCGACGUAGCGCAGCUUGGCAGCGCACAGUCUUGUGGAGACUGAGGUCACCGGUUCAAAUCCGGUCGUCGUUG